GGGGCUGUAGCUCAGCUGGGAGAGCACAACGCUGGCAGUGUUGGGGCCAGGGGUUCGAGCCCCCUCAGCUCCA
rnacentral:tRNA from 1 species